AGAGUUUGAUCCUGGCUCAGAUUGAACGCUGGCGGCAGGCCUAACACAUGCAAGUCGAGCGGAUGAGUGGAGCUUGCUCCAUGAUUCAGCGGCGGACGGGUGAGUAAUGCCUAGGAAUCUGCCUGGUAGUGGGGGGCAACGUUUCGAAAGGAACGCUAAUACCGCAUACGUCCUACGGGAGAAAGCAGGGGACUUUCGGGCCUUGCGCUAUCAGAUGAGCCUAGGUCGGAUUAGCUAGUUGGUGAGGUAACGGCUCACCAAGGCGACGAUCCGUAACUGGUCUGAGAGGAUGAUCAGUCACACUGGAACUGAGACACGGUCCAGACUCCUACGGGAGGCAGCAGUGGGGAAUAUUGGACAAUGGGCGAAAGCCUGAUCCAGCCAUGCCGCGUGUGUGAAGAAGGUCUUCGGAUUGUAAAGCACUUUAAGUUGGGAGGAAGGGCAGUAAGUUAAUACCUUGCUGUUUUGACGUUACCGACAGAAUAAGCACCGGCUAACUUCGUGCCAGCAGCCGCGGUAAUACGAAGGGUGCAAGCGUUAAUCGGAAUUACUGGGCGUAAAGCGCGCGUAGGUGGUUCAGCAAGUUGGAUGUGAAAGCCCCGGGCUCAACCUGGGAACUGCAUCCAAAACUACUGAGCUAGAGUACGGUAGAGGGUGGUGGAAUUUCCUGUGUAGCGGUGAAAUGCGUAGAUAUAGGAAG
rnacentral:rRNA from 1 species